UUAACAUCACGUUUUAGGUUAAAAUAUAAAAAAUUGAAAAUAGAAAAAAGAAAAAGAAAACUGAAAGGAGAACGAAAGGUCUCCUUCUUCAAACACCCACCGCCGAAUCUCAUCCACAACAGUGCCGCCAUCUCUCACCAGUGGAUUCUUUUGGUUCUAGUGCGUCUUUCCCCCUUCCCGCAUCGUAACCGCUCAGUCUAACCCUGUUCGUCGCGCCGCUUUCGAGUCCGUUGGCAUCACCGUCCUUUCUUCCAACAACGACAGAAGGAAAUUGUGUUGAAAUUGAAGUCACUUUUAACUAAGAACAAGCUUUUGGUUUAAGUUGAUGCUGGAAUCAAGUUGAAAGAUCUCCAGGUAACAGGUAACAAAACCAUGUCAUUCCGAU